rnacentral:rRNA from 1 species
UACAGAGGGUGCGAGCGUUGUUCGGAAUUACUGGGCGUAAAGGGUGCGCAGGCGGCCGCUCAAGUCAGAUGUGAAAGCCCCCGGCUCAACUGGGGAGGGUCAUUCGAUACUGAUCGACUCGAAGGCAGGAGAGGGUAGUGGAAUUCCCGGUGUAGUGGUGAAAUGCGUAGAUAUCGGGAGGAACACCAGUGGCGAAGGCGACUACCUGGCCUGUUCUUGACGCUGAGGCGCGAAAGCUAGGGGAGCAAACGGG